rnacentral:sRNA from 1 species
GCCGGGUGUGUUGGUGCACCCCUGAAAAUCCUAGCAACUUGGGAGGCUGAGGCAGGAGGAUCACAAGUUCAAAACCAGCCUCAGCAACUUAGUGAGGCCCUAAGCAACUCAGUGAGACCCUGUCUCUA